GAAUUUGCCCAUUGGUCAGGCAGAACUGUCUGCACUGGUGUGACGAGUUCCUACCUUCUGAGGAAUCUCCAUGUCAUUCAGUUGGUGUGGGGGGAAUCAGGACUGUUACUUUGAAAAAAUUAGAGUGUUUAAAGCAGGCAUCCCGUCUGAAUACAUUAGCAUGGAAUAAUAAAAUAGGACGGUUUGGUUCUAUUUUGUUGGUUUCUAGAGUCGCCGUAAUGAUUAAUAGGGAUAGUUG
rnacentral:rRNA from 2 species